rnacentral:rRNA from 3 species
GAUUGAACUUAAGAGUUUGAUCCUGGCUCAGAUUGAACGCUGGCGGCAUGCUUUACACAUGCAAGUCGA